GAUGAACGCUGGCGGCGUGCCUAACACAUGCAAGUCGAGCGAUUCUCUUCGGAGAAGAGCGGCGGACGGGUGAGUAACGCGUGGGUAACCUACCCUGUACACACGGAUAACAUACCGAAAGGUAUGCUAAUACGGGAUGAUAUAUAGAAAUCGCAUGAUUUUUAUAUCAAAGAUUUAUCGGUACAGGAUGGACCCGCGUCUGAUUAGCUUGUUAGCGGGGUAACGGCCCACCAAGGCGACGAUCAGUAGCCGACCUGAGAGGGUGAUCGGCCACAUUGGAACUGAGACACGGUCCAAACUCCUACGGGAGGCAGCAGUGGGGAAUAUUGCACAAUGGGCGCAAGCCUGAUGCA
rnacentral:rRNA from 1 species